GAUCAUAUGGCAGACCUAUAUAAAUAUUUCAUUUAAUUUUUAUUCGGUUAUAAUUUCUUUUGUACUCAAGUUCAAGUCAGUGAGUUGGCAUUCAAGGACGAUCAGAUCUUCCUUGAACCAUUCAAUUUCAAUCAAACACAGAAUUGUAAGAGAGAGAGAGAGAGAGAGAGAGAGAGAGAGAUGCAGUAGUAGUACGUAGUUUAAGAAGAAAGAUACUUG
rnacentral:lncRNA from 1 species